AUGGAGGGACGAGGAGGGUCAGGAAACAACACUAGGAGUCCCUUUUGGAAGCUGGCUUCCACAUCGUUCAGCCUCACGCUCUCCAAGCUGCGCCCCCCCCCGCCCCGCCCCCAUCACAAGCACCCGGGCACCCUCCAGCCCCUCGGAGCACCAGGUUCCGCAAAGGCCAGUCCAAAGGUCACUGUCCGUGGCCAGGCCAGUGGAAUGGGGGAAGGGACCCAGAUGGGCCCUCGUCCAGCGAAGAGGGUCAGCUGUCAGGUCCGGGACGCCUUGAAGUUGAUGCAACCUCGGGUUCCCCACCCCACCCCGGCCAAGCCUAGGAUGAGCGCGGUGCUGCGGGUCGGCGGGUCCGGGACCCCGAGUGCUCGCAUCCCAGGUUCAAGCCAGGAAGGAGCCAGAGGAGGGAGCCGCGUCUACAGGGGCACCCCGGCUCCGACAGGUGACGACUCCACCUCCUCUUGGAUGCCUCCACUGACGAUGACCUCACCACCUAACAAGGCUGUUUGUCCCUCCAUCAAGCCUGGAGUGGAACUCACCUGUGCUGGAUACCGCACCUAGUGGGAGCAGCGGGGCUCUGGCUUCCUGUUUGAAAAGUGGGCACUGAGGACAGACCAACAGGUUCGAAUUCAACUCCAAGGCCUUCUAGCUGAGUGGGCUUGGGCAAGACCCUUCCCGGAGCCUCGCUUGCUCAUCUGAUGAAGACGAGUGAGGUGGCCAAGAAAGCAUAACCCCCACCCCAUGAUUACUUCUUGCUCCUAAGACAAGCCCACAAACCACUGGCUCCCUGACCCAGGCAGUGGUCCAUCCAACUACUGUGCCUGGAACUGUUCUUCAGCCCCUUCUAGACUGUCCUAGGCAAGAGGAAUGCCAUGCUAUCAGUUCUCACCCAGAAAAGGCUUCCUUCAGCUCCUUGAGUUGCUGCUGAGAAACAGGAAAGGCCUCUCAGAGCCUGGGUUCCAUGGGACCAGCCCCACGGAGUCCUCCUGAAAGUCCUACUGCUCACCUGUUCUGAGAAGCCAGAAUUCCUCAUGUGGACACCAGAUGAGGACCCAUGGUGAUCCUGUUGCUGACAGCUGACCAAAGAGGAGGCUGCCAGGAUUUCAGAAAUCUGAGCAGCUGCUGUUAUUAACUGAGGCCUCUGGUGAACCCUGACCAGACAUAAGGUCGGCCAAUCAGAGCCCAGCAUUCACCAGUACAGUGAUUGGUUCAUGAAUGAGCACAUGACUCUCCUGGACCAAUCAGAUCCCUCCCUGAGACUGGCUGGCACUAUCAGGGAAUACCUCAGUCUCCCUUAGACCCCAAGCUAGCCUUAAACUGAGAGAUUACAAACUGGGGGCCAUGCUGGGCCACCACAUAGUACACUUCUACUCAGAAUGAAGCCAUGAUAGAGGAAAGCAAGUGGACAGAGAUUCUGCCCUAGGGACAUUCUUUGAGGCUUGGAUUUUGGCGUCCUUAAAGAGAGCUGUACUGUUGGCCGUCGAUUAAAAGAGCCAAUAACAGUUCUUUUUAUUUACUUUUCCUUUCUUAAAAAUGCAAACUCAGUCAGGAAAGGUGGUGCAUGCUUGUAAUCCCAACACUUGGGAUGCUGAGGCAAGAGGAUUGCUGCGAGUUCGAAGCCAGCCUGCACUACAUAGCAAGACCUUGUGCCAAAAAGCAAACAAACCAAAACAAAAAAGUGCAAACUCAUCUGAGGCAAGCUUCUGUUAGUGGUCCUCAGGAGAUUUCAGAUUAUGCAUGGUGGCAGCCUCACCCAACACCUUCUGUUGUUUGCUAAGCCCUUCACACACUCCUCUCUCGUCAGAGGUGAGAGCAAGAUGCUGGGUCCUGGGAAGGAAUCUGGAUUUUUUCAGGGGGAGGUUGUCCUGAGGAAGGCCAACUCUGAGCCUCCUUGAAGUUUUUAGGGGCUGUUAGUGAAGAAAGAAGUCUCACAGUACAGUCUUGUUUUUCAAACCCCCCAAACCUUGCUGAGUUGGGAACAGCAUGUCCUGUCAACAGAAAUUUCCCUGCUCUGUCGUGGAUAAGAGCUUGACUUGAGUCAGGCUGCCAGUGAGCAGAUCCCUUACUUUGCCUCUCCCGGGGUCAUUUUCCUCCCAUAAGGUGGGGUAGUAAUAGUGCCUACCUCAUAGGGUUGCCACAUGUUACUAGAGCUAAUGUAGGAAAGGCGCUUUGGACCCAGCAUAUGGUGGGUGCUCAGUACACAUUAACUGGUAUUUAUAUCAUGGCUAAGGCCUUCAGUGUAUCAAUCAGGUUUUCCAGGGAACAAAUAAAUGGCUCUCCUGAAUAGAAUAAUUUGAGAAGGAUUUAAGAAAUAUAUACAUACAAGGGAGAGGGCCACAACCCUCAGAUUUGUUUCCAUCUUGAGCUCAGAAGGUAAAGAAUAGGGUGGCUAUCAGACCUAGAAGCAGACAGUCCUGUCUUGUAGAAAGACCACAGGGGAGGAGUGGGGCACGCACACGUGGCCACCCCAAGGGAGCCAGCCAGAAAAGCAAGAGCUCAGAUUCUCCGUCCUCCCUGCAGUCUCCUGCAGUGGCUCCCAACUGCCAAACCCAACUGGAAGCAAAGGACACAGUGGUCCAUUUGUCAGCUCAUGGAGGUCCAUUGGGCUGGGGGGAGGUUAGGCCAAAAUGGCAAAGCUAUAGAGUGGUAGUCACUGGCUCCAACCCCACAGCCUCUGGGUGUGAACCAUGGACAAAUCCAUCAAGACACUGGAUAUGGGGACGAAGCCUCUGAGACCCUCCAGCCCAGCUGGUCUUCUGUUAGCUAACUGCCACACAGCAACCCUGUCAGUGUCUCAUUGGACAGAAGAAUCACCAGACAAGUCUGGUAAAUCUGAUAGAACUAUGCUAAAGCUGGUAAAAAUUAUAAUAAAGUUGAUUGCUAUUUGGGAUAUUUUGUUUUGCUAAAGUAGAUCAGCAGACAACCAUUCUUUUUCUGAUGUUUCCAUCUUCUGACUCCCAACAAGCUCCCAUAUCUCCAUUUCCUAUGACUUUAGAGAAAUGGCCGGGAGGAGGGGAUGACUUUAUUACUGCAAAAUCAGUCUGUGUCUUUGGGAUCAGAGGUGAGCAAAAAUGCCUGCCCCUCUGCCAGGGCA
rnacentral:lncRNA from 1 species